CCGGAUGGAAGAGAGCCCUGAGCACGCACUCGCACGCAAAUACAUACAUUAUACAGACAAAACGAGGCCACACUCAAAUUGCCUCCAUCCUUCGCUGACUCUGUCUCGCAACCGCCAUCACCACCGUGUCACCGCCCCGAGCUCCUCUGUUAGCUCGGACUGUCAAUGCCUGCCCAGAAGCGUCCGCUCGAUACUACUCCUCCUCCUCUUUCUCCUCCUUCGGCGCCCGAGGAAGAGGAUGCCGAUCAUUCACUCCAAAGCAACCCGAAUCACAACAACGGAGAAGCCGAAAACGAAGAAGUUUCCAAUGGCAGUCCUUCCUCCAGUGACGAAGA